rnacentral:lncRNA from 1 species
UAUUGACCAUCAACAUCCUGAUUGAAUUCAGUCCCCCCAUAAGCGAUGGGGAAGUCUCUGUAAUCAACUCCAGGAACCCAUUGACAACUAACUGUUGCAGUCAUUGUCAUCGACACAGUAAUUUGAAAUUAUUUGCCACUCAUGUUGAAUGUCCCAUAUUAUACAAACCAAAAGUUGUGACUUAUCCAGCUCUUAACUAAGACAUCAGAAGUGAUUUCUCUUUAUCUUCCAGUACAUUUUGUUUGCAAUGAAUGAUGUCCAUCUUGCUUUCAUAACACAUCCAAUUUUGUAAUAUGGUAUCAAAGUUGGAUG